AUGGAUUUCCCAGCAGUCCUCGUCUGCCUGAUGGCCACCGUCUAUGGUGUCCAAGCCAAGGAACAUAUUGUGCAAUGGGGAGAGGGGACCGUGUCCCCUUCUCAGACGCUCAGGCUCACCUGUGCCACCUACACACUAUCAAUUUCUGAAUAUGCCGUGUCGUGGAUUCGCCUCCGCCCAGGGAAGGAGCUGGAGUGGCUCGGUGUGAUCUGGGCUAAUGGAAAAACCAACUACAGCCCCAAUCUCCAGUCUCGGAUGAGCAUCUCCAGGGACACAAGCAAGAACCAAGUGUUCUUACAGCUGAACACUGUGACAGGUGAGGACGCAGGCACAUAUUACUGUGCCCAAGGCACUGUGAUCCAGAUUCAGUUGGAGCUCAGACCCAAACCUCCCCGCAAGGACCAGAUGGCAGGGGGCGCUCAGGACACACUGAAGGAGGAUCCACCACAAGGACACCUGUAG